GCUUGGGUGGCUCAGUCAGUGGAGCAUGGGACUCUUUGAUCUUAGGGUCGUGAGUUCAAGCCCCACAUCAGGCG
rnacentral:tRNA from 1 species